rnacentral:rRNA from 1 species
GACUCUGGCCUCAAAUCAGGUAGGACUACCCGCUGAACUUAAGCAUAUCAAUAAGCGGAGGAAAAGAAACUAACAAGGAUUCCCCUAGUAGCGGCGAGUGAAGCGGGAAGAGCUCAAAUUUGUAAUCUGGCGUCCUUCGGGCGUCCGAGUUGUAAUCUAUAGAAGUGUUUUCCGUGCCGGACCAUGUCCAAGUCCCUUGGAACAGGGUAUCAAAGAGGGUGACAAUCCCGUACUUGACAUGACCACCGGUGCUCUGUGAUACACUUUCUACGAGUCGAGUUGUUUGGGAAUGCAGCUCAAAAUGGGUGGUAAAUUCCAUCUAAAGCUAAAUAUUGGCGAGAGACCGAUAGCGAACAAGUACCGUGAGGGAAAGAUGAAAAGCACUUUGGAAAGAGAGUUAAACAGUACGUGAAAUUGUUGAAAGGGAAACGAUUGAAGUCAGUCGUGUUCUUUGGACUCAGCCGGUUCUUCCGGUCUAUUUCCUUUGAACGGGUCAACAUCAGUUUUGUCCGGUGGAUAAAGGCAGGAAGAAAGUGGCUCCCUCGGGAGUGUUAUAGCUUUCUGUCACAUACACUGGAGGAGACUGAGGACUGCAGCUCGCCUUUUGGCCGGGGUUCGCCCACGUUCGAGCUUAGGAUG